CCCACUGCCUGAGAGGGAAGCUAGCCACCAUGUUCUGCCCUCCAUCUCCUGCACACAGUGAGGUGUUGCUGUGGGACCUUGCUUCAGACCUGUAAGUUGCAGUUCCUGCUUUUAAAAUUCUGUUAUUCCAGAAAAAGUCAUGUGUAUGGGUCAAACCUGAAAUUCAUCCUACCUGUCUCUUGAAGAAAGGGAGUAUACCAACCACUGGAGUGUUGUCUAGCUGCUUUUUGCCUCCCUCAGCCCUAAGAAGAGGGACCCAAGAUGCUCUUGGCACCCACAUGUGAGAUAUUCCAAUGAGAGAUUGCUGUUUGAUCUUCAGGGUCAUGCCAACUGCUUCUGAAAAAUGCUGUAGCAUUUUUGGAGUCUAUAGACUUGGAAUUUAUAGAACACUGGAUCGGCUACAGUAAACCUCCCUUGGUUUGGUCCCAAAUCUGCAUCUAUGAACUAUUCUUCAUAAGUUUUGUUGCUCUCAUCUACGGCCAUACCACCCGAAUGAACCCUAUCUUGUCUAAAAUUGUUGCCAUCUGCUAAUUUCAGAGAAGGUGGAGUUUCCUUCUCUACUUUUCAUUUGUGUUACAGCUUUGAGGUGGCUCUAUGGAGAACAGAUAAUGGUCCCUAUUCUGCCAUCUUCAACCUGACUUUUAUAGCGUGUUAGUUGUGCAAGUAAUUUUCAUUAGUAUUGUUUUUUCCAAUUUUAUUGUGAUAAAACUGACAUAGAGCAGUGUAUGAAUAUCAAUAUUGUUUUUAACAGAAAAUAAAC
ensembl:lncRNA